CGCCUCCGGCGCCGCGGGCCCCUUCUGGGCGUCGGGUUCGCUUCCGGCUCCCGGGGAAGCGUUGUCCGACGCCCGGAGGGCCCCGCGCCCGCGCCCCGGCC
rnacentral:misc_RNA from 1 species